AUUGAACGCUGGCGGCAGGCCUAACACAUGCAAGUCGAGCGGCAGCACAAGGGAGUUUACUCCUGAGGUGGCGAGCGGCGGACGGGUGAGUAAUGCCUGGGAACUUGCCCAUUCGAGGGGGAUAACAGUUGGAAACGACUGCUAAUACCGCAUAAGCCCUACGGGGGAAAGAGGGGGAUCUUCGGACCUCUCGCGAAUGGAUAGGCCCAGGUGGGAUUAGCUAGUAGGUGAGGUAAAGGCUCACCUAGGCGACGAUCUCUAGCUGUGCUGUGGGGAGGAACAGCCACACUGGAACUGAGACACGGUCCAGACUCCUACGGGAGGCAGCAGUGGGGAAUAUUGGACAAUGGGCGAAAGCCUGAUCCAGCCAUGCCGCGUGUGUGAAGAAGGCCUUCGGGUUGUAAAGCACUUUCAGUGGGGAGGAAAGGUUGUUGGUUAAUAGCCAAUAGCUGUGACGUUACCCACAGAAGAAGCACCGGCUAACUCCGUGCCAGCCGCCGCCGUAACAG
rnacentral:rRNA from 1 species